rnacentral:miRNA from 1 species
CUCCAGAUGUUGCUGAACUACAACUCCCAUGAUUCUCAGCCUAUUGCAUUCAUAGAUUCAUGGGAGUUGUAGUUCAGCAACAUCUGGAG